rnacentral:rRNA from 1 species
AUUGAACGCUGGCGGCAGGCCUAACACAUGCAAGUCGAGCGGAUGAAGGGAGCUUGCUCCUGGAUUCAGCGGCGGACGGGUGAGUAAUGCCUAGGAAUCUGCCUGGUAGUGGGGGAUAACGUCCGGAAACGGGCGCUAAUACCGCAUACGUCCUGAGGGAGAAAGUGGGGGAUCUUCGGACCUCACGCUAUCAGAUGAGCCUAGGUCGGAUUAGCUAGUUGGUGGGAUAAAGGCCUACCGAGGCGACGAUCCGUAACUGGUCUGAGAGGAUGAUCAGUCACACUGGAACUGAGACACGGUCCAGACUCCUACGGGAGGCAGCAGUGGGGAAUAUUGGACAAUGGGCGAAAGCCUGAUCCAGCCAUGCCGCGUGUGUGAAGAAGGUCUUCGGAUUGUAAAGCACUUUAAGUUGGGAGGAAGGGCAGUAAGUUAAUACCUUGCUGUUUUGACGUUACCAACAGAAUAAGCACCGGCUAACUUCGUG